UACAGAGGUCCCAAGCGUUGUUCGGAUUCACUGGGCGUAAAGGGCGCGUAGGCGGCCACCGCAAGUCGGUUGUGAAAUCUCCGGGCUUAACCCGGAAAGGUCAAUCGAUACUGCGGGGCUAGAGUGCAGAAGGGGCAACUGGAAUUCUCGGUGUAGCGGUGAAAUGCGUAGAUAUCGAGAGGAACACCUGCGGCGAAGGCGGGUUGCUGGGCUGACACUGACGCUGAAGCGCGAAAGCUAGGGGAGCGAACGGG
rnacentral:rRNA from 1 species